rnacentral:rRNA from 1 species
GAUUAAGUUAUUAAGGGCGCACGGUGGAUGCCUUGGCACUAGAAGCCGAUGAAGGACGUUACUAACGACGAUAUGCUUUGGGGAGCUGUAAGUAAGCUUUGAUCCAGAGAUUUCCGAAUGGGGAAACCCAGCAUGAGUUAUGUCAUGUUAUCGAUAUGUGAAUACAUAGCAUAUCAGAAGGCACACCCGGAGAACUGAAACAUCUUAGUACCCGGAGGAAGAGAAAGAAAAUUCGAUUCCCUUAGUAGCGGCGAGCGAAACGGGAAGAGCCCAAACCAACAAGCUUGCUUGUUGGGGUUGUAGGACACUCUAUACGGAGUUACAAAGGACGACAUUAGACGAAUCAUCUGGAAAGAUGAAUCAAAGAAGGUAAUAAUCCUGUAGUCGAAAAUGUUGUCUCUCUUGAGUGGAUCCUGAGUACGACGGAGCACGUGAAAUUCCGUCGGAAUCUGGGAGGACCAUCUCCUAAGGCUAAAUACUCUCUAGUGACCGAUAGUGAACCAGUACCGUGAGGGAAAGGUGAAAAGCACCCCGGAAGGGGAGUGAAAUAGAACCUGAAACCGUGUGCUUACAAGUAGUCAGAGCCCGUUAAUGGGUGAUGGCGUGCCUUUUGUAGAAUGAACCGGCGAGUUACGAUUUGAUGCAAGGUUAAGCAGUAAAUGUGGAGCCGUAGCGAAAGCGAGUCUGAAUAGGGCGUUUAGUAUUUGGUCGUAGACCCGAAACCAGGUGAUCUACCCUUGGUCAGGUUGAAGUUCAGGUAACACUGAAUGGAGGACCGAACCGACUUACGUUGAAAAGUGAGCGGAUGAACUGAGGGUAGCGGAGAAAUUCCAAUCGAACCUGGAGAUAGCUGGUUCUCUCCGAAAUAGCUUUAGGGCUAGCCUCAAGUGAUGAUUAUUGGAGGUAGAGCACUGUUUGGACGAGGGGCCCCUCUCGGGUUACCGAAUUCAGACAAACUCCGAAUGCCAAUUAAUUUAACUUGGGAGUCAGAACAUGGGUGAUAAGGUCCGUGUUCGAAAGGGAAACAGCCCAGACCACCAGCUAAGGUCCCAAAAUAUAUGUUAAGUGGAAAAGGAUGUGGCGUUGCCCAGACAACUAGGAUGUUGGCUUAGAAGCAGCCAUCAUUUAAAGAGUGCGUAAUAGCUCACUAGUCGAGUGACACUGCGCCGAAAAUGUACCGGGGCUAAACAUAUUACCGAAGCUGUGGAUUGUCCUUUGGACAAUGGUAGGAGAGCGUUCUAAGGGCGUUGAAGCAUGAUCGUAAGGACAUGUGGAGCGCUUAGAAGUGAGAAUGCCGGUGUGAGUAGCGAAAGACGGGUGAGAAUCCCGUCCACCGAUUGACUAAGGUUUCCAGAGGAAGGCUCGUCCGCUCUGGGUUAGUCGGGUCCUAAGCUGAGGCCGACAGGCGUAGGCGAUGGAUAACAGGUUGAUAUUCCUGUACCACCUAUAAUCGUUUUAAUCGAUGGGGGGACGCAGUAGGAUAGGCGAAGCGUGCGAUUGGAUUGCACGUCUAAGCAGUAA